GGCUGUAGGAAUUCAGGAGAGCAGAAAUAUACUGGAAGGAGGGAAGUGCAGGGUGAGAAUAAUGGCCGCAGGAAUUCAGGAGAGAGGAAAUAUACCUGUAGGAGGGAAAUGCAGGGUGAGAAUAAUGGCCGCAGGAAUUCAGGAGAGAGAAAAUAUACUGGCAGGAGGGAAAUGCAGGGUGAGAAUAGUCGCCACUGGAAUUCAGGAGAGAGGGUGAAGUACAAAACACAGAGGAGCUUGUCGACGUAGAAGAGGGCUUCUGUUUAGAGAUGAUUUUAUGCAUCUGCUGACAAGGUUG
rnacentral:lncRNA from 1 species